GAUGAACGCUGGCGGCGUGCCUAAUACAUGCAAGUCGAACGAAGAUCUAGCUUGCUAGAUCUUAGUGGCGAACGGGUGAGUAAUACAUAAAUAAUCUGCCCAUAUAACUGGGAUAACUAUUGGAAACGAUAGCUAAUACCGGAUAGGUUGAUCGGAGGCAUCUCUGAUGAAUUAAAGUAGGAUUUCUACACAAAUGGAUGAGUUUAUGGCGCAUUAGUUAGUUGGUGGGGUAACGGCCUACCAAGACGAUGAUGCGUAGCCGACCUGAGAGGGUGACCGGCCACACUGGGACUGAGACACGGCCCAGACUCCUACGGGAGGCAGCAGUAGGGAAUUUUCGGCAAUGGGCGCAAGCCUGACCGGGCAACGCCGCGUGAGUGAUUAAGGCCUUCGGGUUGUAAAGCUCUGUUGUAAGGGAAGAACAUUCAGGAUAGGAAAUGAUCUUGAACUGACGGUACCUUACCAGAAAGCCACGGCUAACUACGUGCCAGCCGCCGCCGUAA
rnacentral:rRNA from 1 species